AUGAACGCUGGCGGCGUGCCUAAUACAUGCAAGUCGAGCGAACGGACGAGAAGCUUGCUUCUCUGAUGUUAGCGGCGGACGGGUGAGUAACACGUGGAUAACCUACCUAUAAGACUGGGAUAACUUCGGGAAACCGGAGCUAAUACCGGAUAAUAUUUUGAACCGCAUGGUUCAAAAGUGAAAGACGGUCUUGCUGUCACUUAUAGAUGGAUCCGCGCUGCAUUAGCUAGUUGGUAAGGUAACGGCUUACCAAGGCAACGAUGCAUAGCCGACCUGAGAGGGUGAUCGGCCACACUGGAACUGAGACACGGUCCAGACUCCUACGGGAGGCAGCAGUAGGGAAUCUUCCGCAAUGGGCGAAAGCCUGACGGAGCAACGCCGCGUGAGUGAUGAAGGUCUUCGGAUCGUAAAACUCUGUUAUUAGGAAAGAACAUAUGUGUAAGUAACUGUGCACAUCUUGACGGUACCUAAUCAGAAAGCCACGGCUAACUACGUG
rnacentral:rRNA from 1 species